rnacentral:rRNA from 1 species
UGGCGGACGGGUGAGUAAUGUCUGGGAAACUGCCUGAUGGAGGGGGAUAACUACUGGAAACGGUAGCUAAUACCGCAUAACGCCGCAAGACCAAAGAGGGGGACCUUCGGGCCUCUUGCCAUCGGAUGUGCCCAGAUGGGAUUAGCUAGUAGGUGGGGUAAAGGCUCACCUAGGCGACGAUCCCUAGCUGGUCUGAGAGGAUGACCAGCCACACUGGAACUGAGACACGGUCCAG